UCGACGACUCGGUCUGACAACUAAAACAACUGUGCGUACAUGUUUAUAGAGUAAACAGUUGUGACCUUCCACACCACUCCUCCCAGAGACAACGAUCUGUUACGAAACCAUCGGCAGGCUCGGCACUCAAACAUGGUUUUGGUAGUUGUCCCCCGGAAACUCCAUACUGAGAGAGAGAGAGAGAGAGAGAGAGAGAGAGAGGAGAACCUUGAAGAAAUUGCGUUGUGUAAAUUCGAGGACGACGUUGUUCGCUAGCGGCAUUCAAAGGAAAUUUUACAUCUGAUUCGAAUUGAAGCUCUUCCUCGACGAACAAACUCUCACCAUCUUCACAUCUCACCUUUCAAAUGAAUUUUGGGACUGUAAUUUACCCAUCUUGUCACGAGUCGUGUGCCGUCGAAUGCGAACACAACACACAACAUCCUUAUUCCGCGAAUUAGGACAUUGAAAACGCGUGGACAUGGCUUGUUUGGGAUUUAUUGUUCAACCAUUAGGACAAUCCUUUGAAGAAAUGGUUGAUUAAUGACCUUUCAUGAUCAGAAUAACUCAAAUUGGUGAGAACUUUUUGUUAUUUUUUUACGUUUUUGUUUUUUGCCAAAAUGUAUCGGUAAGCAUCUGCCAAAUCCAUUUCAUUUACCACUCCAUGGCGAUCCGGUUUUUACUUUGAAAGUUGAAAUUGAGUGUAGUUACUCCAAUAUUGCAUUGCCCAUCUUUUAUCUCCCUGGUUUCAUUCAAUUUGUGGUUGUACCUAACCUUGUGGACUUCAACUUCAUGAUUCUUGGAAAUGGAAAAUUUGAAAUUGGUUUUUGGGCUGCCCAAAUUUCGCCGCCCAAGAGUAUUCGCAUACCCUCCCAGUUUCUAUGCCUUUUGAAUUUUGGGUGGUAGGAAUGGUGGACAAAGAACCUUUUUGCCAUGGCGAGGAGUGGGUGAGGAGAAACCGGUGGAUUUGAUGGUCAUUGGUGUGAGGCGUGUGCACAACUUCGGUUUGGAGGAGCGAGUCGGGGUGAAUUUUGAUUCAGUUUGGAGUAACAGGUAACUUCAUUGCAACAAAACUUUGAUUGCAUACGGUGAGUGUUGCUUCAAAACUUCAUUGCAACAAAACUUUGAUUGUAUAUGGUGAGUGUUGCUUCCAUUUCACCAUUACUUUAUUUUCUAUUUUCUGGCUGUUUUCUGAUUAAGAGACCAUGUUGCUCAUGUAAACUUAAUGAUCAUAGUCCUUCGGUCCUUCCAUGUGCUUUGCCUGUUGUUUGAUCUGAUGAUCCAAUGACAACUCAUUUCAUCAUUACAUUGUUUUCAUGAGUUCCGACAGUUUCAUUGUUGGGUGUUGGAUUUCAUGGGUUUAUUUUCCCGUGGUGCGAAUGGACCACUAAUUUUACCGUUUCAUCAUAUCAUAUGUGCCUAAACUAUUCGACAAAAUGUCUGGUCUUUUUUCCAUUUUAAGUAACAAGAAGCCUUAGAUAUCAUAUUAGGCCCAAAAAGAUGCUCAUCGAUGAGUUCAAUGGUGGGUUACAACCCCACGAAAAUGUCUAAAUAGAAGAUUGGGAUUUUGAAGGGAGUGAAAAUUCAUAGUGGAGGGAGUUAGAGGAUCCCUCUAACAUGCGUGAAAAGGAGUCGCUUUAUUUGUUUGUGUGUUUGCAUUGAGAACUCCAUCGCCCGAAACUGCCUUCAUUUCCAAAAAUAAUACCUGGGCAUAGUUUUGCAUAAUAUCUUGCAGAACUCAGUACUCGGUGAAUAUGGGUGUCUUUACUCUCUAAUAGGUUGUUCUUGCUGCUUCCUACGUCAAUUAAUUUCUUCUUUGUAUCUACCAAUGUAAAUGUGUGUUACUACUUACUAACUACUUUUGGUUUCUGCAUAUGCCACAUACCCACUGCCUUGAGAGAGCUAUCCCUCCAGAUGAAGAACAUGAUUUAUUUAGCAACUUUUAUGUAUAGGUUGCUUUGUUGCUUACAUCAAGAACAUUGAGGCUUACGUCAUCAGUCCCCACAGCUACAAUAUCAUUUCUUUGACUCAAUUAACUGUGAUCUUUUACCCAUUUCAAGCCAUUUUCUCGAUUGACUGUGAUCUUUCAUUUUCAAUUUUCUUUUUACUGGGCAUCCAUCCAAAGGGGCCUGGCCAUUUUAUGAGAAGACAUAAAGAAAGUGGAGACUUAUUCUCAGCAUUCAGCAUUAGCAAACACAUUAGCAUUUUGCAUGAAGUUUUUUUCCCCUACUUACCAAUCUCAAAAGAUGUCCAAACAUAAAAACACCCUAUUAUUUGUUCACACAUUUAAAUGUCCUAUUAUCCUUUCUAUUUAUCAAGCUUUAUGACUGAAACCAGUUGAUGCAUAGAUUUAAGAACUUCAUCCCCCCUUAGGACCCAAAAAAAUGCCUUAAUUACCUAAAAAAACAGCACGUGGAUGCAGGUGUAGUUAUACAAAGACUAUCGGAAGAGAAAUCUAAUAACAACACAAUCCAAGAUCAAUUAGCAGAUAUGAUGACCCAAAAGCAUCGCAACCUAUACCAGAAAAGGUCGAGCAACAGUGCAAAUUUUCUUGGAUUCAGCUAAGUAUUGUCGUGCUUUAUUUGUGUGUGUUAAAAAUUUCGACUUCCUAAGUACAAUCUACGAGGCAUAUACGUGACCAUUUGAAGCUCAAUGAGAUUAUCCCAUUUGGGAUUGUCUCAAAUACAUAUCCCACAUGCUUGCAGGUGCCGCCUUUUAGAAUUUGUGUCAAUUCCAUCCGGCAAAGGUCUAACUUAUUGUUCCCUUGUGAACUUCAAGAGAUAGUAUGUAUACAGAGAUGUAUGGGGUACUUAAUUUGAGUGUUUUCAAGAAUCAACUUUUCGUUGGUCUAUCUGUCUGUUUGUGUGUCUGAGUGUGUUAUGGUAAAAACUAAGAGAGCAUAAUCAUAAGUCGUGAGUUUAAUGUUCCACUUCACUUUUUUCCUUUUUUGAUAUUGCUCUUCACUUACUUUAUACCUAGAGUUUGAUGGCAAGACGUAUAACCCUAUGGGUACGGGGUGACCAUUAUUCUUCAACAUGUGUAGUUCGUUAUCAAUUAAUUCAUCUUCGAAAUGUCCAGUAUUCCCAUAAAGCCUUGUGUCAUGGAUUUAUUUUUCAAAGGUAGGUGGCUGUUCUUUUAGUUUCUGUUCUUUUCUUCUAUGAAAUAGGGUUGGUAGUUGCCACAAACUAUUUUGUAAUUGUCUCUAUUUGUAGCAUUUACUGAAGGCAACAAUCUUGUUUGGUAAGAAAUUGAAAUUAAAAAAUCAAUACUCCUGGUCAUGGUCAUGCUAAAUAUCAAGUCUGUCAUCCACUAGCUCAAGAUUUGACAACUAUAUUCAUCUGUUCUUUUCUUUAUUGCUUUUGUUGGUUAGGUUAAGCAUUGGUUUCUCAUGGCACUAUACAAGAACUGAAGGAUCCACUACGGAAUCAAGUUAUCAGGUGGCGACUGAUCUAGAAGGCUGAAGUAGGAUCAAAUUGCCAAGGUAAUUGAGGAAUUUGCAAAGAUUGAUAUGCUUCUCAAGCCCAAGAGUGGGGAGACGAAGAGGAGAAGAAAAAAAGUUCAGGUACACCAGAACAAUGUAGUACAAAUUUAUGCCUGAAUCCGAUGGAGCUGGAUCACUCUUAGACUCAUUCAGAAGUAAAAAGACAAGCAGCAGCUUGGCAAAUUAAUCACAAGUGGAGUUUUUUCCCUUGCUCUUUUUGGCGGUUACAAAUGUGUUUGACUUAAAUUUUUUUCCUCCAAUCAAUGGAUGGGUCAACAAAGAUGGCAAUGUGUACAUGGGCCUUGUAUCCCUUGUAUAAUGACUCUGUUUCUAACAUGUAAGCAUAUUUAUACUUGGGUAAGUUUCAUAAUGCUAGAUUGUACAUACAAGCUUCAAAGAAGUUUGGAAAGUUUCUUUUAGAAUCUUGCGUGUUCUUUGAUUACAUUUUGAGUAUUAUUUGGAUACUAAUUUUGCAACGUGGUAUUGCAUUAAAAUAAUGGAUACAUAGCCAAAACCUGAAAUUCAACACCGGCAAAAGAUCUUCGAAUUCUCAAUUUUCAGCUUACAAUCACUCAAGAAUGAAAGGACGCAAUUACUCCAUACCAUUCUUCUACCUGGUUUGUAUCGAUCCAGUUUUGUAGAAAUUGAAGUUCCAAACCAUUACUUACAAACCCAGGAAUUGAGGUUCUAUCAUGAUCAAAUCAACGGACUGAACCAAUGACUCUGUGAAUUACCAAAACCUUCAAUUGUCUGGUGUAGGUUAUAUGUAUUCAGGUGCCC